CAAAGAGUUACAAUCAUUCUCAUAUAGCAUCACGUACAGGGCUUAAAAGGAAAGCAGUCAAACGUCAAAAAUUUCUUGAACUAGAUUUCGAAGUGUUCGUAGUGUAAGCGGCAAGAACAACAGUCGAUAAGGGAUUGUACAUAGUUAACUAGGUCUUCAUUACCUGCAAACCAGGAUUUUACCUGGAUCAAACUUAACACGCUUCCGUCUCAAAAAAGAUGCUUAUCUCUCUCUUCUUGGGAGGCCGAUGGUCACUAAGAACUCUGCUGCCCAAAAAACUGUAAUUCUUAAGGUUUGCUGUCGGUUACAGGUAUUAAGAGAAAGAAUAAAUGUUAUAUACUUUUUCCGCUUUAUUUAGUAAAAAAUUAUGUCAUUGUAAGAUUGUUAUGUAUGUAGUACACGUUUGACAAUGCACAAUGACAUUGAGAAUGGGAAUGAUAUAAACAGUUGGAUUGUAAUUUAGGUAGUGCAGGUUUCUCGUUGAUCUCGAGGACAUCCUGCGAUAAGGUUUUUCGUAUAAAUUCUACCUUCUCCUUUCCCUUGACAUAUGUAGCGUCCAUUGGUGAUACCAGCAGGCGCACUAUAGUUGAAAAUAAGUGUGCCUGCGUAUGUCCUUCUUCCCAUUUAAUCGGCCAGAUUGCUUCUCUCUCU